rnacentral:rRNA from 1 species
UGGGGAAUAUUGCACAAUGGAGGGAACUCUGAUGCAGCCACGCCGCGUGAGUGAAGAAGGAAUUUGUUUCGUAAAACUCUGUUCUAUGGGAAGAAAAGGACUGUACCAUAGGAGAAAGCUCCGGCUAAAUACGUGCCAGCAGCCGCGGUAAUACGUAUGGAGCGAGCGUUGUCCGGAAUUAUUGGGCGUAAAGGGUGCGCAGGCGGCUUUACAAGUUGGAUGUGAAAUAUUGUGGCUCAACCACAAACGUGCAUCCAAAACUGCAAAGCUUGAGUUAAGGAGAGGUAAGUGGAAUUCCUGGUGUAGCGGUGGAAUGCGUAGAUAUCAGGAGGAAUACCGGUGGCGAAGGCGACUUACUGGACUUAAACUGACGCUCAGGCACGAAAGCGUGGGGAGCAAACAGG